CUAGCACUUUCACAGGUCCUGCCCCAGGCUGUGGGGCCAGGAUUUGGUAGCUGGUGCUGAAAGAAAAACCCCUGGGUGGCAUAUUCUUGCCCUGGCAUUGUGCCAGUGGCAUAUGUCACUUGGUGGGACAGAC